CGCGCCGCCACGUCCAUCCCCACCCCCCUCACCACCGCCGGCCACUGCCCGGCCAAAGCCCAGGCAAUUAAGCGCUGGGCAAAGGGCAGGAACGAGCCAACCCGGAGCUCACUCCACAAGUGGCCUAUCGGGACUGUCGGGGACCAGAAGGCGCGGCCCUGCGCCCAGGAGUACACGAUGCACCUCGUUCCUGGCCCUGGCGGCCAAGCUGCAUGAGGUGGCGGUGGUCGUGCGGGACAGGGGGAGGGCGGGGUGUUUCUCUCAGUGCAACAGAGGUGAGCUUCAGGCAGCAUCCUCAGGCCUCCACUCGACCCCCGGGCUGGGCGGCAGGGGCAAGCACGGGGUUGAGGCCUGGAGAGCCGGGGCUGAGUGGAAGCCAGGGCCGUUCCUUCCCAUCGCUGCAGUGAGAGGCCCAGAGCCUCUUGGGGACAAAAGCCCAAGCCUGCAAGCGCAGGGCCACGGGGGUCCGCUCGGCUCCGCUCCUCUCCCCUCCUCUCUCAGAGGUGGGUCCGGGAGCCCUCUGGACAGAAUCCUGGAGACCCUGGGAGCUGCCUUUCGGACUCGGGCCCAGGGCUCCUUCUGAGGCGGCUCCCUGGUCCCGGGAGGGGCCCUUCCCUUCUGGACUGGGACCUCCGGCCUUUGCUGGGCCUCGGGCCCCUUUGGCACAGGGUCCCCAGGCUCCCCAUGCCAUCUCUGAGCUGGACAGGAAGGAGUCACUGGAGCUCGCCUCUGCCGCUGCAGCCAAUGGCAGCAGAAGCCCAGCUGCCCGCGGUGGUCUCCGGCUGGGCCCCACCCGUGAGCGUGAGCGUAAGCCCAAGCCUGCAAGCGCAGGGCCCCGGGGGUCCGCUCGGCUCCGCUCCUCUCCCCUCCUCUCUCAGAGGUGGGUCCGGGAGCCCUCUGGACAGAAUCCUGGAGACCCUGGGAGCUGCCUUUCGGACUCGGGCCCAGGGCUCCUUCUGAGGCGGCUCCCUGGUCCCGGGAGGGGCCCUUCCCUUCUGGACUGGGACCUCCGGCCUUUGCUGGGCCUCGGGCCCCUUUGGCACAGGGUCCCCAGGCUCCCCAUGCCAUCUCUGAGCUGGACAGGAAGGAGUCACUGGAGCUCGCCUCUGCCGCUGCAGCCAAUGGCAGCAGAAGCCCAGCUGCCCGCGGUGGUCUCCGGCUGGGCCCCACCCGUGAGCGUGAGCGUGAGUGAGAGCGUGAGCGAGAGCCAGCGCCAGCGCCAGCGCGGCUUCAGAGGCCCUGGGCCCGCCCAGGCCAAGGCUGCUCUGCCUUCCAGGGGAAGGGGCGAGCCGCCAAGCGCCCGCAGCUCCCCAGCCCAGGGCCCAGGCUCCUUCUGAGCAGCU
rnacentral:lncRNA from 9 species